GUUUGAUCAUGGCUCAGAUUGAACGCUGGCGGGAUGUCUGCUUUACACAUGCAAGUCGAACGGCAGCACGGACUUCGGUCUGGUGGCGAGUGGCGAACGGGUGAGUAAUGUAUCGGAACGUGCCUAGUAGCGGGGGAUAACGCGAAAGCGUAGCUAAUACCGCAUACGCCCUUCGGGGAAAGCGGGGACCCUUCGGGCCUCGCACUAUUAGAGCGGCCGAUAUCGGAUUAGCUAGUUGGUGGGGUAACGGCUCACCAAGGCGACGAUCCGUAGCUGGUUUGAGGACGACCAGCCACACUGGGACUGAGACACGGCCCAGACUCCUACAGGGAGGCAGCAGUAGAAUUUUGGACAAUGGGGAAACCCUGAUCCAGCCAUCCCGCGUGUGCGAUGAAGGCCUUCGGGUUGUAAAGCACUUUUGGCAGGAAAGAAACGGCACGGGAUAAUACCCCGUGCAACUGACGUACCUGCAGAAUAAGCACCGGCUGACUACGUGCCAGCAGCCGCGGUAAUACGUAAGGGUGCAAGCGUUAAUCGGAAUUACUGGGCGUAAAGCGUGCGCGAGCGGUUCGGAAAGAAAGAUGUGAAAUCCCAGAGCUUAACUUUGGAACUGCAUUUUUAACUACCAAACUAGGUGUGUCAGAGGAGGUGGAAUUCCGCGUGUAGCAGUUGAAAUGCGUAGAUAUGCGGAGGAACACCGAUGGCGAAGCGGCCUCGCAGGAUAACGACGCUCAUGCACGAAAGCGUGGGAGCAAGCAGGAUUAGAUACCCUGGUAGUCCACGCCCUAAACGAUGUCAACUAACUGUUGGGGCCUUCGGGCAGCGGUGACGCUACCCCAGCUGCGCGUGAAGUUGACCGCCUGGGGAAUGCGGUCGCAAGAUUAAAACUCAAGGAAUUGACGGGGACCCGCACAAGCGGUGGAUGAUGUGGAUUAAUUCGAUGCAUCGCGAAAAACCUUGCCUACCCUUGACAUGUCUGGAAUCCCGAAGAGAUUUGGGAGUGCUCGCAAGAGAACCGGAACACAGGUGCUGCAUGGCUGUCGUCAGCUCGUGUCGUGAGAUGUUGGGUUAAGUCCCGCAACAGGCGCAACCCUUGUCAUUAGUUGCUACGAAAGGCACUCUAAUGAGACUGCCGGUGACAAACCGGAGGAAGGUGGGGAUGACGUCAAGUCCUCAUGGCCCAUAUGGGUAGGGCUUCACACGUCAUACAAUGGUCGGGACAGAGGGUCGCCAACCCGCGAGGGGAGCCAAUCCCAGAAAUUGAUCGUAGUCCGGAUCGCAGUCUGCAACUCGACUGCGUGAAGUCAGAAUCGCUAGUAAUCGCGGAUCAGCAUGUCGCGAGGUGAAUACGUUCCCGGGUCUUAACACCGCCCGUCACACCAUGGGAGUGGGUUUUACCAAGAAGUAGUUAGCCUAACCGUAAGGAGGGCGAUUACCACGGUAGGAUUCAUGACUGGGGUGUGAAGUCGUAACAAAAGGUAA
rnacentral:rRNA from 1 species